AUGAACGCUAGCUACAGGCUUAACACAUGCAAGUCGAGGGGCAGCAUUUUAGUUUGCUUGCAAACUGAAGAUGGCGACCGGCGCACGGGUGAGUAACACGUAUCCAACCUGCCGAUAACUCCGGAAUAGCCUUUCGAAAGAAAGAUUAAUACCGGAUAGCAUACGAAUAUCGCAUGAUAUUUUUAUUAAAGAAUUUCGGUUAUCGAUGGGGAUGCGUUCCAUUAGUUUGUUGGCGGGGUAACGGCCCACCAAGACUACGAUGGAUAGGGGUUCUGAGAGGAAGGUCCCCCACAUUGGAACUGAGACACGGUCCAAACUCCUACGGGAGGCAGCAGUGAGGAAUAUUGGUCAAUGGGCGAGAGCCUGAACCAGCCAAGUAGCGUGAAGGAUGAAGGCUCUAUGGGUCGUAAACUUCUUUUAUAUGGGAAUAAAGUUUUCCACGUGUGGAAUUUUGUAUGUACCAUAUGAAUAAGGAUCGGCUAACUCCGUGCCAGCAGCCGCGGUAAUACGGAGGAUCCGAGCGUUAUCCGGAUUUAUUGGGUUUAAAGGGAGCGUAGGUGGAUUGUUAAGUCAGUUGUGAAAGUUUGCGGCUCAACCGUAAAAUUGCAGUUGAAACUGGCAGUCUUGAGUACAGUAGAGGUGGGCGGAAUUCGUGGUGUAGCGGUGAAAUGCUUAGAUAUCACGAAGAACUCCGAUUGCGAAGGCAGCUCACUAGACUGUCACUGACACUGAUGCUCGAAAGUGUGGGUAUCAAACAGGAUUAGAUACCCUGGUAGUCCACACAGUAAACGAUGAAUACUCGCUGUUUGCGAUAUACAGUAAGCGGCCAAGCGAAAGCAUUAAGUAUUCCACCUGGGGAGUACGCCGGCAACGGUGAAACUCAAAGGAAUUGACGGGGGCCCGCACAAGCGGAGGAACAUGUGGUUUAAUUCGAUGAUACGCGAGGAACCUUACCCGGGCUUAAAUUGCAACAGAAUAUAUUGGAAACAGUAUAGCCGUAAGGCUGUUGUGAAGGUGCUGCAUGGUUGUCGUCAGCUCGUGCCGUGAGGUGUCGGCUUAAGUGCCAUAACGAGCGCAACCCUUAUCUUUAGUUACUAACAGGUCAUGCUGAGGACUCUAGAGAGACUGCCGUCGUAAGAUGUGAGGAAGGUGGGGAUGACGUCAAAUCAGCACGGCCCUUACGUCCGGGGCUACACACGUGUUACAAUGGGGGGUACAGAAGGCGGCUACCUGGUGACAGGAUGCUAAUCCCAAAAACCCCUCUCAGUUCGGAUCGAAGUCUGCAACCCGACUUCGUGAAGCUGGAUUCGCUAGUAAUCGCGCAUCAGCCAUGGCGCGGUGAAUACGUUCCCGGGCCUUGUACACACCGCCCGUCAAGCCAUGAAAGCCGGGGGUACCUGAAGUACGUAACCGCAAGGAGCGUCCUAGGGUAAAACUGGUAAUUGGGGCU
rnacentral:rRNA from 1 species